rnacentral:RNase_P_RNA from 1 species
GGACAGGUGAUCGCGGCUGCAAGUGUCGAAAGACCGCAGGUGAGGAAAGUCCGGGCUUCACAGGGCAGGAUGCCGGUUAACGGCCGGUGGAGGAAACUCUAAGGAAAGUGCAACAGAAAUAUACCGCUACAAGGAGCACAUGCCUUCCCCUUCGGGGAAGGCAUGUGCGUAGGGGAUGCAUCGAAGAUGCACCUCCGUAGUAAGGGUGGAAUGGCAGUGUAAGAGACUACCGCCUCACUGGUAACAGGGAGGGCACAUGUAAACCCCAUUCGAAGCAAGACCGAAACAAAGCGUUGACGUGGCCCGCCAGCUUUAGGUAGGUCGCUUGAGGCGGCUGGCGACAGUCGUCCUAGAUAGAUGAUCACCCAACGACAUAACCCGGCUUAUCGUCCUGCUUA